GUUAUUCUGCAUUGGUCAAGAGAGGACUUUAAAAGCAGUGAUGUACAUGUAGAUAUUUUGAGAGGCAGGAAAAAAAAUCCUAAGAUAUGUUCUGUUUAUAAAUUCAGUCUUUCUUAGGCAUUCCUUUAGAGACCCCACUCGUGGUUUAAUGUUUUAUCCUUAUGUUUAGGUAACUGGCUAAAGGUUCUUCUCAUGCUGAAAGUGCCAGUACUCACUCCGAGGCCACAUCCAGUUGGCUGCCUGCAUGUUCACACAUAAACACACAUCUUUCAUGUGUGUGUGUGUGUGUGUGUCUUUGGGUGGGCAGGGGUUCAAAAGGGGCCUUUGGGUAAUACCCACCCAUGUGGAUAAUAUUUCAGGAAUCUUAUUUCAUGCCAAUAAUCAGUAUUUUCCUACAUAACUAAGAAAAAAAUGGGAGUUUUCCCUAACAACUGGAGACAGUGUGCAGGGAAUUACUAGAGCAGUAAGAAACACUGUAGUCCAGUCUUUUGUUGAAAAGUAAAUUUGGAGAAAGAGACUUUAUUUCCAGUUUUCCCACAGAGGCCGGUAGAGCAACUCUUGGAACCUCAAGCCUCACUCGGUUCAGUUUUCUUGCUUUUUAAGUAUGACAGACUGACUGACUGACUGAUGACUGAAUGAUUACUUGAGGUCAUGUCUGGGUUUUUUGAGAAGUAAGUGUGUCUCAUUCCUUUCUCUGCCUGCAUGUAGAAUAAUCAGAAAGUGAAGCACCCGAAGUAUGAACUGAUAAUUAGAAUUUAUUUGGAACACCAAAGUGAAUGUUCUCAUGCAGAAAGACAGAAAAGUCAUAUUUGGAAACUGUCUCUAAUUGAGAACAACUUGAUUAUUUUGUAAACUUGAUGCAGUAUAUACUUGUUUCUCUUACUUUGGAUCUAGUAAUAAAGCUAAUGAUGCCCCAUUAGAAGUUCUAGCCAUUUUGAAUUUUUCUUGAAUUCAUCAUAUCCAUUAAUAUAAUGCAGUAAAUAUUUUUUCUAGAUCAGUUUACUCAAUUAUUCCCUGGCACUAUAUCAGAGAUAUGAAGUCAGGGAGGCAAAAUUUAGGUGUGUGUAAAUUUCCCUGAUCCAAUGUCAGAUCAGUGAAACUUGUUUUACAUAAUUUCCAUUCAAAACCCCGUUCCAUCCCUCCCGGCUCUCAUGCUCUUUGACCUCGUUAGGCUGUAUGUCUCACAGGACAGAAGUUACAGAAAACACCCCAACUAUAGGAAACAAUUUUGCAGCCUUUAUUCUUUUCCUUAAAUUAGGUAUUUUUAGUCUGAGCUGUAACCAUUUGGCUUUCUUGCCAAGAUAAGAGAUGUUUAUCAUCCUUGUUGAACCAGAGCAAUUAACUAGACAAAUGGCUAGAGAUUUAAUCCUUAGGGUAUCUGAAAAGUAAAGCGCAUCUAAGGGAAGUGAAAGCAAACAUUUGUUAUCUUUAUAUCUACAUCUUAUAUUUUCAAUGUCUCAGGAGGCCGGGGCUUUUUACGGGAGCACCAAGAAAUCCAGGGAUGCUUUAUUUCCCUACGUCCACCAAAGAUGCUUACACAAUUGUGACAUUCCCUUUCUUUUUUUUUAAGUAGCAACUUAGUAGAGAAGUUAAAAUAGUAAUUCAGUUGCUUUUGCAUAUCAUAUGAGUGAGGAUUUCUGGAAAUUAGGGCCAAGUCUCUCAGUGAUUAAAAUAGAACCCACAGUCUAGUCAUGUAUUUCUUUUUUUCGCUGUUAAAAAAAAAACCAUGAUGGUUUGAAGGCUAUUUCUUUUUAUUGUUAUCAGUCAUGCUGGCAAAAAUGAAGCAGAUGGCAAACGGGGAUAUUUUAAAUUCUGCUGCUACCUUGAAGUAUUAGAAAAUAAAGCCCAAUGAUUAUGUUGUGUUGAUCAAGUGAUUAAAAUGAAAAGAGUGCAUUUUGUAAUGCAAAAUUUCUCCUGAUCUUUACUGGACUGAUGAUGUUAAGUAAAGUAAUUGUCCUUUAAAAGAGACUGCUCAGUUAACUUUUUUCCUCAUUAAUUUUGUUAGUCUUGUGGUGUAUUAGUCAGCUUUGCAUCCGUUUUCCUUUCUGGCCUGUCUGGUCUGUGGACUUGAGCCCCGGAAUCAGACGUGAAGAAGGCAGCUUAUGGAAACCACUUCCCCAGUUCCCACAGUCGCACAAGGCCAGAUCUCUGUAACAGAUCUCUGUGUAGUCACACACAGACGUUCUUUGUGGUCUGCUUCUUUGGUUGAACCCCAACUGAUGCAUAGUCCAAAAACUGAUUGUUAGGCAACAGUGGGGAAAGCCAAGAAACAACCAAUUUAUACGAUUUAGCUGUAGGAUUUGAUAGAACAAGUAUCUCCAAAAUAUGGGGCAAAUCAUGAGCUAUAAACAAGAGGAUUGGUUGAAAAUCUGUUUAAGAAGCUGUUUAGAGCCCAAGCUCUCUUUCUGGUCUGUAUAGCUAGGCAAAUGCCCUUUCUCCCACCUGCAAGGAAUCCCAAAGUUGUAUUUCUUUAAAUGGGGGACAUCAGGCACAGGUGAAACUGGUGUAUUCAAUGGAAAACAGGAGGUUCGGGUGAAAAUUAACUGAAGGUGAGACUCCAGCCAUCUUUCUUUUAUGCAUAUUGUACCAGUUGAGUCCCCAGGAUUAUAUCCUUCAAGCAGAUUAGAAAAACCCUUAUGGGGAAACUGACCAACACAAAAGAAGAGACUUGUAGGUGCCAGCAUUGUAGAAAAUCCUGAACGAUAUGAUUGUCAUAGAUAUGAAUUUCUUUGGUAGGUAUCAACAAAUUAAUACAAAGCUAUAAUUUAAAGAAGGUGGUUUUAGGACAACUAUACUCCUCAAAGAAGAGCAAUUUUCUUUUAUCUGUAAAGACUUUCUUUUUCUCCCAAGGGCACCUCUGAGAAUGUUGGCUAUAAGUAGUCCUGAAGAAGACACUCUUAGCUAGGACACCUAUCAGUCAGAUUAGUUCCCGGUGAUCAAUGAGUGAUAAGUGUCAUUACCUGUGUGCCAUAAUGUCCACUUAGGACAAGAAGAGGAAGUACCCCUACAGCUAACCUCAUACUCAGAAACAAGACAAGGAUGCCCACUCUCAUCAAUAAAUGGUGUUGGGAAAACUGGACCAUUAUAUUAUACCUUACACAAGUAUUAAGUCAGAAUGGAUUAAAGACUUGACCCUAAGACCUGAACUCAUAACACUUCUAGAAGAAAACAUAGGCACUAGGCUCCUUGACAUCAGUUUUGGGGAUGAUUUUUUGGAUUUGACACCAAAAGCAAAGGUAACCAAAGCAAAAAUAAACAAAUGGCACUAAUCAAACUAAAAAAGCCUCUACACAACAAAAGAAAUCAUCAUCAAACUGAAAAGACAACCUACCAAAUGGGAGAAAACAUUCAUAAAUCAUAUGUCUGGGAAGGGGUUAAAGUCCCCAAAAAUGAAGAACUCAUAUAAAUAGCAAAAAAAAAACCCCCAAUCUGAUUAAAAAUCUGGGCAGAAGAUCUGAAUACACACUUUUCCAAAGAAGACACACAGAUGGCCAGCAGGUCCAAGAACAGGUGCUGAACAUCGCUAAUCAUCAGGAAAUGCAAAUCAAAACCACUGUGAGGUAUCACCUCACUGCUGUUAGAAUGGCUCUUAUCAAAAAGGCAACAAGUGUUGGCAAGAAUGUGAAGAGGAAACCUUCAUGCCAUGUUGGUAGGAAUGUGUAUCCAGUGUGAAAAACAAUAUGGAGGCUCCUCAAAGAAUUAAAAAUGGAACUACCAUAUGAUCCAGUAAUUCCACUUCAGGCAUUUAUCUGAAAAAAACAGAAACACAAACUACAGGAAAGAUAUAUGUACCCCCAUGUGUGCUGCAGCAUUAUAUACAAUAGCAGAGACGUUGGAAGCAACCUAUGUAUUGAUGGAUGAAAGGAUAAAGAAAAUGUGGCACACACAACAGAAUAUUAUUUAGCCAUAAAAAGGAAACCUCUCUAUUUGUGACAAAACAGAUGGACCUUGAGGGUAUUAUGCUAAGUGAAAUAAGAACGAGAAAGAUAAAUGCCAUAUGAAUCUCACAUGUAGAACCUAAAAGAAAGAAACGAAAACCCCC